rnacentral:lncRNA from 1 species
UAAAAAUAAAUUUUUUUCUAGUCCAUUACCACCACUACCACCCUGAAUGUGUGAAAAGAUUGGCUCAGAAUAAUCGUAUUUGUGUCAUGAAGAAGGGUAGAUAUUUUUCCAAGAACAGUUAGUGAAAAUUUUCCUGCUAAAAAGCAUAUGGCCAGUACUAUUCAGUUUUGAUUUAGUAGAGUAGCAAUCUCCAUUUGGGUAGAAACUUGGCAUAAGCAUGGAAUGUUUUUCUGCCCAGUCGAGCUGUAACAGAUACUUACAAUAUUAGUAUUUUUACCAAAAUAGAAGUUUACAGCUUUCUGACAGAAACAUUUUCGGGAAGGAAAUCCAGAUCUGUAAUGGAGGCUUUGCCUGUGAAAUCCUCGGGAACUCUGACUACUUCUAUUAUGUUACUUAGUCUUGUGCUAACUCCAUUCUUGGGGUGACCUCAUGUUUCAAAGUGGCUGUUCCGGCUCCAGCCUAUUCUCUGUAUUCAAGAUAGUGGGAAGGAAGAAGAUACAAAUAAGAACAGACAGGAGUCUUUCAUCUUUAAAGAAAGUUUACAGAAGCAACUACAGGACAUUUUCUUAUUAUAGCUCAUUGACCACACCUAAGUGUCAAUGAAGAUAAGAAAUACAAACUGUUUUCAAGGUAGCCUGUGCUGGCUGCAUGGUAAAAAUACCUAUAAUAUAAACCCAGGUUAAAAAUACCUAUAAUAUAACCCAAAUGUUAAGCAUUUGACUGAGUGUUUAAGAGAAAGUAAGAUUAAGAAGCAAUGCCUUACAGUAUGAAAAGUAAAAGGUUUAAAACACUUCAAACAAAUAUUGUUGAACACAGUUAAUAUUGUUGAACACAGUAGAGUAAUUCUACAUUGCUUAUGUAGUUUAUAUUUCUCUACAUUGACAAGAAAAAAAUAUAUGUGACAAUACCCAUGAGCCAUCUGCACUUCACCACAACCAUUUAUUUAUUUUUUCUUAAAUAAGCUGAAAUAAUGUCAAUUUUGUCUCUAUUCAAAAUUAUAAUUUCAUAUAAAGGAUUUCCUCUCCCUCCCCAUUUGAUUAAUUCAGAGUAAAACUACGUUUUCACAAUUAAGAUCGGACAUAAGGCAUUUUAAUUUGCAAAGUAGAGGAUUUGAAAUUAACUGUAUAGAACUAUAAACAGAAAUAGAGGGUUUGCAAUCGACUAUAGGGAUGUGAACGAAGAAUAAAUCAGGCCAAAGACACAUCAGCUCUCCUUGAUGAUCAGAGAAAUUCAACCUAAAGCAGUUUUUUUUGUCCUGAACUAUUCAGAGAACUGCAGCUCUCUAACGCUGUUACAGAUAUGCUUGCAAAAUAAGUCUUUCAUACCACAAUAAUUUGCGAACUACCCCACAAAACACACAAAUCUGCAACUGUCUACCGAAUUCAGACUGUGAAGUUGACCAAUUUAAAUCAUAUAUCCUCAUUUUUUUUUUUUUUUGCUGAGUAGAUAUUUCCUUCUUGUCUCCUAAAUGAGCAGAACUCUAUAAUUCAUGGUUUUUAAACUGUUUAAUAAGGCUUUGAACAAGGAUGUCACCUCAAACUGGUAAGCCAUGGAUUUUGAAGAGCUGACAGGUAGGUUGAGAUUGCCUGCUCAGUUACUUGCCAGUGCUGUAUUUUGAGCAAAUAAUUGGAUAACACUUUUCUCCUCUCCAAAAUGUCUCAGGAUUUUACAGUGACAUUCCCAGUGUCAGCAGUGGCUUCAUCAACAGUUACGUAAAAUGUGAAGACGCCAUCAGGAAGCCCUGUUUCACACUUCAGAAAACUAAUGUUAGUAGAUGUGUGGGUGUGGAGAAAUAAGCUGUGUAUUGUAACAAGAUUUGUAAUGGAAUGUCUGGGGGAAGAAAGUGAAGAUUCCCAGAAUAUCUUUGUCUAGGCAGUGGACAGCCUAGUGAGUCUGUGAAAAAUGAACACUUUUGAGGAAGAAGGUUUGUUUUUCAAUCAGUUUCAGG